GAGUAAAUUUUAAUGAAUGCUUACCCAACAAUAAAAUAUAACACGUUGCUCACCCAUCUAUCCAAUAACUUACCCGUUGCUCACCCAUUUCAUCCCCGUCAAUCUAAGUUAACGGAGUAUGCCACACUUGGAGGACUGAAAUCCCACAUGGCACAAAUUUUCGUUCUCCACUGCCUAGACUUCACAAACUGCACACCAAUUCACUGCUGAUACUCUUUUGACCACGAUUGCUGAUGAAUUCUAGAAGUUGGAGUGUUCUUACUGUCGUAAAAGAGCUAGCUAAUGGAGAACCAGAGAGGUAUGAAUAACAUCUGCUCGGUGCUAAUAUUCUUGACUGCGAUCGCUGCUGAAUCCAAGAAGCUAGAGUUUUCCAUUUUCUGUCCUAACAGAGCUUGUUAAUAGAGCAAGAGAGAGGUAAGAAUAACAUCUAGUCACUGCAUAUUGAAUACACCUUCAAAUAUGAAAAUGGAAUUUCUUCGGUCUCAUUCUCCUGUGAAACAAGAAAAUCAAUAAUAUUUUCAUCGGUUUCCAAUUGAUUUUCUAACUUAUUUCAACGGGCAUUUCAGUCUGAAAAUGGAAUGAAUUUGAUGGGCCCACAAGAAGGGGAAAUAGAAAGAGGAAAUUACAUAAACUAAGAUAUUUGAAGAUUCA
rnacentral:lncRNA from 1 species